rnacentral:rRNA from 1 species
UACGUAGGGUGCAAGCGUUAAUCGGAAUUACUGGGGCGUAAAGCGUGCGCAGGCGGUUCUAUAAGACAGAUGUGAAAUCCCCGGGCUCAACCUGGGAACUGCAUUUGUGACUGUAGAGCUGGAGUACGGUAGAGGGGGAUGGAAUUCCGCGUGUAGCAGUGAAAUGCGUAGAUAUGCGGAGGAACACCGAUGGCGAAGGCAAUCCCCUGGACCUGUGACUGACGCUCAUGCACGAAAGCGUGGGGAGCAAACAGG